GAAUCUUAUUAUUUGUCGGGACCCAAAAGAUGGUGAACUAUGCAUGAGCUAGGUGAAGCUAGAGGAAACUCUGGUGGAGGCCAAUAACGAUACUAACAUUCAAAUUGUUCGUCUACUUGGGUAUUGGGACAAAAGACUAAUCGAACCGUCUAGUAAUUGGUUCCCUUCAAAGUUUCCUUAGGAUAGCUAGAGCCUACGAGCGAGUUUUAUUGAAUAAAGCCAAUGAUUAGAGGCAUCGGGGGCACAAUGCCCUCGACCUAUUCUCAAACUUUAAAUAGGUAAGAUGGUGUGGUUGCUUUAUUGAGCCACUCCACAAAAUCGAGAGCUCCAAGUGGACCAUUUAUGGUAAGAUAAAUUGGCGAUGAGGGAUGAACCGGAAGCUAGAUUAUGGUGCCCAACUGUGCGCUAACCUAAGGUUAGCCUUAUUUAUACAUGAAAGACCCUUAUUUAGUAUUUUGCUAUGCAUGAGUCCAUAUUUGUAUAUUUAGAGUGUAGAAUUCAGGAAGGUAGUGUAUAGGGAUGAAUAAAAUAGAA
rnacentral:ncRNA from 1 species